rnacentral:sRNA from 1 species
GCUAGGUGUAGUGGUGCACGCCUGUAAUCCCAGCAGCUUGGGAGGCUAAGAUAGGAGGAUUGUGAGUUCAGAGCCAGCCUCAGCAACAGCAAGAUGCUAACCAACUCAGUGAGACCCUGUCUCUA